CACUAUCGCAGACAUCAUUAAAAUUAUUUAAAUCUGAUACAAAUCAAUUAAUUAUCGAAUCCCCCUUUCCAAUUCUCUUCUUUUCUUUCUUUUCUUGAAUUCAGAAACUGAACUGAAUCAGAUGAAAAAAAUUAGGAAUUAGGGUUAAGGUUCUGGGCGGUGCCUUUUAAAUUCCAAGCUUUUCGUAGGGAACACUUUUUGGUCCGUUGCUUUGCUUUGGAUGGGGUAGUUAUUGGGUUUUAAUGGAUACUUUAUCCUGGUUGUGGGACGCUAAAAGAGGGCGGUGGGGGUGUUCUACACGCGAUGAAGAAACCCAUGGAUUAGGAGUUCCCCGAGUCUUGGGUUUGAACUGCACUUAAAAAAAAAAUUAAUAAUUAGUACUGAAAAAAUUGCUAUUGAAGCCAACGUGGUCGCAAAUGAUUGAAUUGCUUUUAGCUUUUUCAUUUUAUCUUCCAAUCAAUUCCCGUCAUAUCUUAUUUGUAAAAAUUUUUUAUACUUAUAGCAUGAUUCAAUAAAUACUAUCUAGCACCAAUUUUGAUGCUUUCUGCAUAUCCAAGACGAAGUCCCUGUAGGCUCUUGAUAGCAGCGUCUAAAUUAUUGCCAGAUUCUUCCAAAACUUUCUCAAGAAGCUGCAAAACAUUUUUAGAAAUAAUCAGCAGUUAUUGAUUGUCUAAACAAUUAUGGUUAUCAGAAUUUGCUAAGGUAAGAAACAUUAAUAGGGCUAAGGUAAGAAACAUUAACAGGAGGAAUUAUAAGGUAUUUGUUUUGAAUAAAAUAACAGAAAUAACUAAGUAAAUGUUAAAGAGGUCCUCUGAACAUAUAAGUUAAGAAAAUCAGAAGGAUAAAACCCUGCAAGUCAAUCUGCUUUUCAGUAACGCAUAUUUCGCCAAGGAACAGCAUUUUUUAUUUUUUUUUUGGCAGUCAUACAAUAGAGAAAGAAAUUCAAGAAAAGGUUGUUGGCGAUUUUAGUUCUUCCAGAUACAAAAUUUAAUUUUUUUUAUUUUUAUUUUUGGUCAAUCAAAGCAUUGAAUACGCAAUUAAGAAAUAUUUUGUGUCGCCCCAAACCACCAUAAAACCUGAAGAAAAUGCGAAAAAAAUUAAUACAGAGGUGAACUAACCUGACUAUCCAUAUCAGGAAACAAAACCUUGAGCUGAUUGAUGAGACUCCUCGGCGGCGAGUAGGAGAACCGAACUGGGGAGGUGGCAGAAGAGCAGCGAAGUUUCUUGGAAACCGGCGGGGACCCCGACACUGGCGAUGACGUUGUUUGUAUCUCUUCGAAGAAAGAUCUCUUCCCACACACUAUCGCAGACAUCAUUAAAAUUAUUUAAAUCUGAUACAAAUCAAUUAAUUAUCGAAUCCCCCUUUCCAAUUCUCUUCUUUUCUUUCUUUUCUUGAAUUCAGAAACUGAACUGAAUCAGAUGAAAAAAAUUAGGAAUUAGGGUUAAGGUUCUGGGCGGUGCCUUUUAAAUUCCAAGCUUUUCGUAGGGAACACUUUUUGGUCCGUUGCUUUGCUUUGGAUGGGGUAGUUAUUGGGUUUUAAUGGAUACUUUAUCCUGGUUGUGGGACGCUAAAAGAGGGCGGUGGGGGUGUUCU
rnacentral:lncRNA from 1 species